CGAUCUCCCCGUCAAGUGUUUUGUAAGAUGAACUUGGAGAAAGAAUUAGUGAUACACCUUGAUAAGACUGUAAAAAUUACCAAAAUUGUUCGUGCUUGUGAUCAGUCAGUGAUUCAUUUACUUGGACGGAUUAAGAAGAAAGCCAUUGAGAAAGUUCCAAGGAUGAACAUUUUUCCACGAAUUUCUUCCUUUCCCGGCAAACGUAUUUUAGCAGGGCAGUGGCAUAAACAACCCCACACUGCUGGUACAUUUUCCGACGAAGAUCUUGGAGUGGAAAAAUUCCUGUUUUCUACAGCAAAUCCUCUAAGAAAGUCACAACAGUGAGAUUCAGCAUUAGGAGAGUUCAAGAGGAAAUUCUCAAUACAGGAAAUGCAGAUUACUGGUUGGAAAAACCAGAGAAGGAUUUAUUCCCGGAAUGUGAAAAAUUCGAAAAGGUGUAAGAAAAGGAGGAUUUCUACUCAUAAUAAUACAACAAGGGAAUCCUUCAUUUGAUGAGAUUCUUCAUGCCCUUCACGAUGUUCCGGCCUAUCAUUUAUGUGACACAGAACAUCUAGCUACAAAACAUACAGCUCACUCAUUGGAAGAGAGUUAGAAGUUUAACUGUGAUAUUUGAGGUAUCACCCCAAAGUUGAUCUAAAUCUGCACUCUGGCAAUUCUCAUCGAUGUAGCGGUACAUCCUUCACUGUAGCUCCUGCGGGGAAAUGCAGGAGAUAUAUCGCCAAUGAUCACAGUACUGAGACUCCUAUUUUGCAACCUAAGAAUCAAAAUAUAUCAUAAUUAGUUGUGGAGAAAUCAAUAGCAGUACUACGUAGGAUAUACCUAGCAGCCAGCGAUGCACAUAAACCGCGUCAUCUCAUUCAGGACUUCACAAUUACUGCCCUCAUUCCGUACAUUGAGCAAUUCGUUUUGAGUGAGCCUAUUGCAACGAAGAAAACACAACAGCAAUCUUCCGGAAAAAAUAUGUUGAUCAUACAGAUGCGACAGAGCUAAAAGAACAAUAAAAAGGAAAUCAGAUAAUAGAAGUGCUUUUUUCUUUAAAAUUGAUUGAAACUUACAUAAAAGUCAGUUUUUUAAAGUCAGUAGACAAAUAAAAUUCCAAUUUUCACCCUAAAUUAGAAAUUAUUUGUUAUGAGUGUUCACAGCAUUUCCUGAAUUGGGAAUAGUCAGACAGAUUUUCCACUUCUCAAGAGAGAACAGCUUCUUCCCGACAUUCAAUUAAUCCUGGACAUUGAGCUUCUCAGGAUUCGCUUAUUAGUACUGUAGCACUACAAGUUUAU